rnacentral:rRNA from 1 species
AAUUGAGACAGGUGGUGGCAUGGUUGUCGUCAGCUCGUGUCGUGAGAUGUUGGGUUAAGUCCCGCAACGAGCGCAACCCUUGUGUUUAGUUGCAAACAGGUCAAGCUGUGCACUCUAGACAGACUGCCGUGGACAACACGGAGGAAGGUGGGGAUGACGUCAAAUCAUCAUGCCCCUUAUGAUCUGGGCUACACACGUGCUACAAUGGCCGGUACAACGGGCAGCGAAGGAGCGAUCCGGAGCGAAUUCUAAAAAGCCGGUCCCAGUUCGGAUUGCAGGCUGAAACUCGCCUACAUGAAGUUGGAGUUGCUAGUAAUCGCGAAUCAGAAUGUCGCGGUGAAUGCGUUCCCGGGUCUU